rnacentral:rRNA from 1 species
UACAGAGGGUGCAAGCGUUGUUCGGAAUUACUGGGCGUAAAGCGCGCGUAGGCGGCGCGACGCGACCGGUGUGAAAGCCCCCGGCUCAACUGGGGAGGGUCAUCGGUAACGGUCGUGCUGUGAGUGCAGGAAAGGGAUGUGGAACUCCGGGAGUAGCGGUGAAAUGCGUAGAGACCCGGAGGAACACCAGUGGCGAAGGCGGCAUCCUGGUCUGCGACUGACGCUGAGGCGCGAAAGCUAGGGGAGCGAACGGG